GGGGGUGUAGCUCAGUGGUAGAGCUCUUGCCUAACAUGCAUGAAACCCUGGAUUCUACCCCCA
rnacentral:tRNA from 1 species